rnacentral:rRNA from 1 species
AUUGAACGCUGGCGGCAUGCUUUACACAUGCAAGUCGAACGGUAACAGGCCGCAAGGUGCUGACGAGUGGCGAACGGGUGAGUAAAGCAUCGGAACGUGCCCAGUCGUGGGGGAUAACUACUCGAAAGAGUAGCUAAUACCGCAUACGAUCUAUGGAUGAAAGCGGGGGACCGUAAGGCCUCGCGCGAUUGGAGCGGCCGAUGUCAGAUUAGGUAGUUGGUGGGGUAAAGGCUCACCAAGCCAACGAUCUGUAGCUGGUCUGAGAGGACGACCAGCCACACUGGGACUGAGACACGGCCCAGACUCCUACGGGAGGCAGCAGUGGGGAAUUUUGGACAAUGGGCGCAAGCCUGAUCCAGCAAUGCCGCGUGCAGGAAGAAGGCCUUCGGGUUGUAAACUGCUUUUGUACGGAACGAAACGGCUCUGGUUAAUACCCGGGGCUAAUGACGGUACCGUAAGAAUAAGCACCGGCUAACUACGUG